rnacentral:rRNA from 1 species
UACGAAGGGGGCGAGCGUUGUUCGGAAUUACUGGGCGUAAAGGGCGCGCAGGCGGCCCUUGAAGUCAGGCGUGAAAGCCCCGGGCUCAACCUGGGAGGUGCGCUUGAUACUCGAGGGCUUGAGUGCGGGAGAGGAGAGUGGAAUUCCCAGUGUAGAGGUGAAAUUCGUAGAUAUCAAGCGGAACACCGGUGGCGAAGGCGGCCUUCUGGACAGUGACUGACGCUGAGACGCGAAAGCGUGGGGAGCGAACAGG